rnacentral:rRNA from 1 species
CGGGAUUGCCUUAGUAGCGGCGAGUGAAGCGGCAAAAGCUCAAAUUUGAAAUCUGGCACCUUCGGUGUCCGAGUUGUAAUUUGAAGAUUGUAACCUUGGGGUUGGCUCUUGUCUAUGUUUCUUGGAACAGGACGUCACAGAGGGUGAGAAUCCCGUGCGAUGAGAUGCCCAAUCCUAUGUAAGGUGCUUUCGAAGAGUCGAGUUGUUUGGGAAUGCAGCUCUAAGUGGGUGGUAAAUUCCAUCUAAAGCUAAAUAUUGGCGAGAGACCGAUAGCGAACAAGUACAGUGAUGGAAAGAUGAAAAGAACUUUGAAAAGAGAGUGAAAAAGUACGUGAAAUUGUUGAAAGGGAAGGGUUUGAGAUCAGACUCGAUAUUUUGUGAGCCUUGCCUUCGUGGCGGGGUGACCCGCAGCUUAUCGGGCCAGCAUCGGUUUGGGCGGUAGGAUAAUGGCGUAGGAAUGUGACUUUGCUUCGGUGAAGUGUUAUAGCCUGCGUUGAUGCUGCCUGCCUAGACCGAGGACUGCGAUUUUAUCAAGGAUGCUGGCAUAAUGAUCCCAAACCGCCCGUCUUGAAACACGGACC